AUACUUACCUGGACGGGGUCUUAACGGGUGAUCAGCAAUGCCUGUGGCCUAGAUUAGAGGUCUUCAUUGCACUUUGAAGAUGCUCUGAUCUACCAUCUGCCCAAGUGGCAGAGUGGACGUCAUAAUUUGUGUUAGGGGGGUUCGCGUACGCGCGGCCCCUAC